rnacentral:rRNA from 1 species
UACAGAGGUCUCAAGCGUUGUUCGGAUUCAUUGGGCGUAAAGGGUGCGUAGGUGGCGCUGUAAGUCGGGUGUGAAAUUUCGGAGCUUAACUCCGAAACUGCAUUCGAUACUGCGGUGCUUGAGGACUGGAGAGGAGACUGGAAUUCGAUGGUGUAGCAGUGAAAUGCGUAGAUAUCGAGAGGAACACCUGUGGCGAAAGCGG